rnacentral:rRNA from 1 species
CAUAUAAUGCAGUCGAGCGGACAGAUGGGAGCUUGCUCCCUGAUGUUAGCGGCGGACGGGUGAGUAACACGUGGGUAACCUGCCUGUAAGACUGGGAUAACUCCGGGAAACCGGGGCUAAUACCGGAUGGUUGUUUGAACCGCAUGGUUCAGACAUAAAAGGUGGCUUCGGCUACCACUUACAGAUGGACCCGCGGCGCAUUAGCUAGUUGGUGAGGUAACGGCUCACCAAGGCGACGAUGCGUAGCCGACCUGAGAGGGUGAUCGGCCACACUGGGACUGAGACACGGCCCAGACUCCUACGGGAGGCAGCAGUAGGGAAUCUUCCGCAAUGGACGAAAGUCUGACGGAGCAACGCCGCGUGAGUGAUGAAGGUUUUCGGAUCGUAAAGCUCUGUUGUUAGGGAAGAACAAGUGCCGUUCAAAUAGGGCGGCACCUUGACGGUACCUAACCAGAAAGCCACGGCUAACUACGUGCCAGCAGCCGCGGUAAUACGUAGGUGGCAAGCGUUGUCCGGAAUUAUUGGGCGUAAAGGGCUCGCAGGCGGUUUCUUAAGUCUGAUGUGAAAGCCCCCGGCUCAACCGGGGAGGGUCAUUGGAAACUGGGGAACUUGAGUGCAGAAGAGGAGAGUGGAAUUCCACGUGUAGCGGUGAAAUGCGUAGAGAUGUGGAGGAACACCAGUGGCGAAGGCGACUCUCUGGUCUGUAACUGACGCUGAGGAGCGAAAGCGUGGGGAGCGAACAGGAUUAGAUACCCUGGUAGUCCACGCCGUAAACGAUGAGUGCUAAGUGUUAGGGGGUUUCCGCCCCUUAGUGCUGCAGCUAACGCAUUAAGCACUCCG